AUUUGCUACAGCUGUUGCUAAAUUAAUCCCUUGAAUGUUCAACUCAUAGAAUUGCAGAGUAUUUACAAACUUGUGGCUGUAUCUGACCUUGGGCUCCUGUGCAAUAUUCACCACAGAGCAGAUCCGCUGGCUGCUCAUUUCUAAGCCAAACCAAAGAAUCAUCCGGAAGGGCAGGCACUGCAUGUGACAGACUCACCUGAGACCAGCCCAGGUUCAGAGAACCAUAUAUUGAUGUUGUUACAACUGUUACUGUCAUCAGGAAAAAUUAUGGUUCGAGAAAACCUAUGGUCUGUUUCUCUGCAGAUUUACUGGUUCUGUCUCUGCCGGACUGCUCCUGAUGCCACCCUGCUCUUCUCCCUACCACUGUGCUGGGCUGGUGUCCUCCCAAAGACUUUGCAGUCUUCAGAGACCAAGGAAGGAACAGUGAGAGAAAGAAUACUCAGAAAACACUUCCAGUCAUGUACAGGAUGGGUACAACUGAGGGCCUCAUUCACAGACCUCAGAACUGCCCCUCUGCAUCAGUAAAACCACAUCUCACUCCUUCCCCUUUCUUCCCCAUUAUCUAGGCACUGUCAGCACUUCCCUUCUUCCCUUACCAGCCAGUUCUACAUACACCCUGAGUCUGGCAACCUAAUCUUUGUUAAGCUUUUACUUUUCCUAAUGCUCUUCCUAAGUAGAAAAGACUUUUCCUUAGCAGAAGGAUAAUGGGGCCAUUUGAAAAGAUGCCUAUUUUUAUCUUCAUAUGUUAUCUCCAACGAUGCUGAACAGGGCAAAAGGCACCGAAUUUCACCUCGGCAUUACAACACUGUGGAAACAAACAUGCAUCUUGUUAGAGUGUAAACAGCAGCCACAGAGCUCCCCUUGUUACCCGCGCUGACUGAUCUGUAUGAUAAUUGCCGGCUAGGAUGACUGUGUCCCUCUCAGGCCGGAGGUAACCGCAUUAUACAGUCAGAAGCCUCGCUGAAUUCUGUGGCCAUCAGCCUGCACAAAACAUGAAGUUAAAAUUGUUUCUUUGAAUUCAAAUGGGAUCAAUACCUCUCAGGAGACAGAUGGGGUUUUCUUUGCUGCACUGAAAAAAGAAUCAGUGUCUGGAGUUCUGGCUCAAAGUACUCAUUCAGCUACAGAACAACACCAGGAAAAAUCAGCAGAGAGUGGGCACCUGCUCUUUUCCUUGAUCAGCCCUGGAUCUCAGAAUUUGAUGUUUUAUAUAAAGGGAGCUUGCUGUUGCUCUUGCAUGCUGCUUCUGAAACUAUACAGUCUGGCUCAGGCAAGAAGGGCAUGUUUAUUCUUUCUUGGAGCCUUUUCAUUUUUACUUGUAGCUGAAUCCUCUAGGUCAAUUGUAUCUGCAGGGGUGGGAGAGGAAUUUAAUUGCUUUUACUUCCUACCUUCAUCUCAGGGUGACCAGUCCAUUAAUAAUGCACAGGAAGCAACUAAGAAAUGCACGGUAGAUUAGGGAUUAAUUGAUAUUUGGAAAGAUUUCAAUCCACAUUUGAAGGAAAAGGUUACACACUGUAGUGCAGCUCUAGUUACUAUUUGCAUUUGAUUAUUUUAUUAUUUCUUGCAGCUCUGCUUCUUGUGGUUUUAGAUACAUUUUCCCCCUUCCUUGGCUAUUCUUUGUAGAAUUUCCUUGUUUAUUUCUUGCUAGAGAUGUCUGUCACAUUUCUGAUACAUGCCACCCCCUAUCAAAUAAAUAAAUGCAUUUAUCUGUAUUUUCCAGUAAUUAUGUUUUUCUCUGCACUGACACUGCCCACAGUUCCUUUAUGAGCAAUUUGACUUUCCAAAACGUUAUUGAUUUCUGUGCUUGGAAGUUACAAGAUUAAUAGCUUUAGAGGCGUAAGUCUUUCAAUCCUUUCACCAAAUAGGAGCUCCAAGCUUGCUUCAGUGCCUGCUGAUGUGCUUCAACACAUCAUUUUUAGGAAGAUACAUGAGCCAGGUGCUCCUCAAAUCAACAAGGCCCUAAAAUACAGGAAAGAGAUGGGUAAUUGCAAUGAUGUCGGGGCAGGAAGGUAGGGUUUAGUUGGUUUGAACAUGACUAGCGUGACACCUCGACUAGUUUUGCCUAGAUUGCCCCGUUGAGAUGGAAGUGGCUUCAGUAACUUUUUAGCAGUUUUAAAGAGUGCAAAGCAGCUCAUAUUGACUCUAGCAGUCAGGAGCGAGAGCCUAUGAGAAAAGAAAAGAGCCAAUAGAAAAGAUGUAUUAGAUUCUUUAAAGACCUGGAAAAAUUCACACCAUCUUCUCCUGAU